rnacentral:lncRNA from 1 species
GGCCAUUUGUCAUGAAAAAUAGUACCUGGGGAAAGAAAUUGCAAAAGAUGAGCAGUUGCUUAUAAGUUUCAAGAUUGAAAUAUAAGAGUUCAUUAGUUUAAGAAGAAACUCUAAAUCAAAAGUCCUGCACUAUAUUGUCUUAUUUCACAUCAAACCUGAAAUAGUAUUUAUUUUCAAAAAAAUCCAACCAAAAACAUGUUUCAUUAGAAAAAAAAAUGGUAAUAAUGCAUCUAUUAUUGAUAUCUACAAAUAAAUUUGCGGGCUCACAUAAAAAAAAAUAUUGCUUACCAACGAUCCGGAGACCAUGAUCCUUAUCUCGAUGUGCUUGGAUGUUUAUCAGCUUCCAACCCUUAACCCUAUCCAAUGAAAAGGUAAUUGCUAGCACAAAGAAAUUGGUUAGAAAGGUGAAUUGCCUAUGUCUAUAGUCAUAAGGAUUAAUAAAGAAUAACUGACCUUCAUCAACUUCAGUAGGUUUGGACACAACAUGCAAUUCCCUCUCUCUUUCUCUAUUUCCUCCUCCUCUUCUAAUCUCUUCGGAUCGAAUUCUCUUUGGCACUGUAGAGAUCAAGGGACAGCCUCCAGUCUCUAUUUCAUGGCCCUUUCCUUGGUAAGCCCUAAAAUGGCAAAGAGAGGCUGCCAACUUUGAUACAUGGACUGCAUUUGGUCCAGUUUUCCAACCAUCUACAUUAAAUUCUCUCCUUUUAUUAGAGGAUACUAAAUUCCUUCUCUUCUACAACCAAAAACAAAGAGAGAACACAUACAU